AUGAAUAGUGUAUUGAUCUAUUAAAAUUUUAUAUCGGAAAUUCUAACGUCAUAUCUAGAACCAGGUUCUCAACUGGUUCUACAAUAAAUAAGUGCAAAAAAUAAGAAGACAUGAAUUUUUACACAGAAAACUUCCUUGCUCAAGGGAAUAAAAAGCAAGAUCCAUCUCUAGGAUUUUCCUCACAAACUUCACUAAAAACAAUGAGCAGUAUCAUGUUACAAAAAUUCUUUUAUAUUAUAAGCUAAGAGACUAACUCUAAUCACUUAACAGUCUGCAAAUUAGAUGAUUGUAACUACUAACUCUAAACUAAUUCCUUCCUUACAAAAGUACUUCUAGAAAAUGCAGAGUAAGGUUACAAUUCAAAACACCAACUAUAAGAUCAAGACAACUUAAACUGGACUUGACUCCAUGGAACAUGGUUCUUGAGUUUAUCUUUCUGUUGCUCUUCCGAUUGUUUUUGCUUGCGUGUAUGUUCUUUCAAAGCUUUCGGUGUAGGUGCAUAUAACUGCAAUAUGUCAAACGUUAUACAUAUAUAGCAAUACAGUUAACAGUAAGGUUAAUUAAGAGAUAAUCCCGAAAAAUCUUCUAACCCCGAGAAUAAAGGAAUAAAGAUCUUCUUGAUUUUAUUAUUUCCCAUAUGGACUUUAUUUCCUUAUAAACUUGCCUAUGAUUAAGUAUUUAAGAAUUGCCAAGAUUUUCCACAAAUAUACGCUGUUGUCAGCUCAUUAUAAUUGAAAAACUAUCCGUAAAGUGAAUUUCAUGCUGGACGUGGUACAAGAACCAGUUAGCAAAAACAGGGUCUCAAAUUUACCACACCUACAUAACCAAAUUACAUAUUUGUUAAUCAUCAGAACUCAAUUUACAACAAAAAGAUCGUACCAUCGCACAAACUUAGGGCAUGUUAUUGUCAAGCUAGAAUAUUCUUGGACCCUGCCCACUAAAUUCUGUCUGGGCUAUGUUCAUCAGUACUCUGAAUUAUAACUCCAACGUACAUAUGCUUUGCCAUAUUAUUUAUUCGGACUGUUAGAUACAGUAAUGGAAUCUGAGGAUGGAGGCCCAUUGGUUCAUAGAAAGAUGGAGAGUUGGCCACCAGGGGUGCUUUCGCUGCUUGCUUUUCUGAGUACUC
rnacentral:lncRNA from 1 species